rnacentral:rRNA from 1 species
AUUGAACGCUGGCGGCAGGCCUAACACAUGCAAGUCGAGCGGAUGAAGGGAGCUUGCCCCUGGAUUCAGCGGCGGACGGGCGAGUAAUGCCUAGGAAUCUGCCUGGUAGUGGGGGAUAACGUCCGGAAACGGGCGCUAAUACCGCAUACGUCCUGAGGGAGAAAGUGGGGGAUCUUCGGACCUCACGCUAUCAGAUGAGCCUAGGUCGGAUUAGCUAGUUGGUGGGGUAAAGGCCUACCAAGGCGACGAUCCGUAACUGGUCUGAGAGGAUGAUCAGUCACACUGGAACUGAGACACGGUCCAGACUCCUACGGGAGGCAGCAGUGGGGAAUAUUGGACAAUGGGCGAAAGCCUGAUCCAGCCAUGCCGCGUGUGUGAAGAAGGUCUUCGGAUUGUAAAGCACUUUAAGUUGGGAGGAAGGGCAGUAAGUUAAUACCUUGCUGUUUUGACGUUACCAACAGAAUAAGCACCGGCUAACUUCGUG